AUUCUGCAGUCUUUACCUAUGGAAUUUUAUUCUAUGAAGGAAUGUAAUGCUUGCGAAAGAUGCUGGAUCAACAGUUGCAGAGAUUGAACUCCUCUACCAACAGGAAAGGUUUUUCUACACCAGCAGGAGGUCUUCUCUUCCCUCUUACGGGGAUACCUGUCUCUUGGUAAUGCCCCCUUCACAAUGAAGGGAAGAAAGGAUGGACCAGCAGCAAUGUGGAAUGGGGUGGUAACAGUCAUGAUGAACACUGUCCUACUAACAUGGAGAACUGAAUAAAAGAGUUGUG